rnacentral:rRNA from 1 species
UACGUAGGGGGCAAGCGUUGUCCGGAAUUAUUGGGCGUAAAGAGCGUGUAGGCGGUCCGGUAAGUCAGCUGUGAAAGUCAAGGGCUCAACCCUUGAAUGCCGGUUGAUACUGUCGGGCUAGAGUCCGGAAGAGGCGAGUGGAAUUCCUGGUGUAGCGGUGGAAUGCGCAGAUAUCAGGAGGAACACCAAUGGCGAAGGCAGCUCGCUGGGACGUGACUGACGCUGAGACGCGAAAGCGUGGGGGAGCAAACAGG